AACGAACGCUGCGGCAGGCCUAACACAUGCAAGUCGAACGCGUCCUUCGGGACGAGUGGCAGACGGGUGAGUAACGCGUGGGAACGUACCCUUUGGUUCGGAACAACUCCGGGAAACUGGAGCUAAUACCGGAUAAGCCCUUCGGGGGAAAGAUUUAUCGCCAGAGGAUCGGCCCGCGUUAGAUUAGCUUGUUGGUGAGGUAAUGGCUCACCAAGGCUACGAUCUAUAGCUGGUCUGAGAGGAUGAUCAGCCACACUGGGACUGAGACACGGCCCAGACUCUUACGGGAGGCAGCAGUGGGGAAUCUUGGACAAUGGGCGAAAGCCUGAUCCAGCCAUGCCGCGUGAAUGAUGAAGGCCCUAGGGUUGUAAAAUUCUUUCGACGGGGAAGAUAAUGACGGUACCCGUAGAAGAAGCUCCGGCUAACUUCGUG
rnacentral:rRNA from 1 species